AAGUCGUAACAAGGUUUCCGUAGGUGAACCUGCGGAAGGAUCAUUACAGAUUAAGGGGGGAUAAUGGGAGAGCUUGGCUGUUGGUGGUGGGGUAGGUAGGGGGCUAGAGGGUUCGCUCUCUCUCCCUCUCUACUUUGCCUGCCUGCCUGACCAAGCAACCACUGUCCGCCCACACCAGCACGGGAGCGUCCUGUCUAGACAGGCGCCCCAUGUUUACGCUUGUUUGUUUGACAGAGUAACAGAUCGAACCUAAUUUUAGACAACUUUUAACAAUGGAUCUCUUGGCUCUU
rnacentral:misc_RNA from 1 species